rnacentral:siRNA from 1 species
GCCGCCGCCGCCACUAAAGC